UUUUUUUAUACUGCUUUAUUUCAUAAGGAUUAAAAACGAGGCUCUUAAGCCAUUGUAAUGAAAAAUGUACAGUUUAUAAUUUCUUAAAAACAAGUUUUACAGAUCGCUUUGAUUGCUGCCUCACAUUUUUAAGAGGAAAAUGUGUGAUAUUACUUUAUUUAUUAAAUAUCAAUAUAUUUUACAGUGAAUAACAAGAUAAAAAUAGCUGGUAAGAAACAGUUAGACAUAACAGAAAUAAGGGCAAAAAUAUGUAGAUAUAAUUAAUUACUACACAUGUUCUGUCUGGUUCCAAUCAUUAACCGCUGGGUCUCAGGGUUAAUCUCCUUGGCUUCUUUCCCAGAUCUACAAUAUGUGAAGUUAUACAGGGGUUCUGUGAAAUCACACCCGUUCUGAUUUUCAGCUAAGGUUUGUCCCCAAAGGGGGAGACAAGAUUGCUGACCAAGCAUUCCAUCUAUCUGAUUUACCACAAUUUUAACUAGAAGCUCUAAUGUAUUAUUGUUGAAUAAGGAAAUAAAAAUACAUGUAAAAUUCACAGUCUUUUAAACAUGCCAAGUAACAACAUAUUCACUUUUUUAUUAAAGGGACACUAUAGUCACCAAAACAACUUUGGCUUAAUAAAUCAUGCCCCUCAAUUCUCUGCCAUUUGUGAUUUAAAUCACUUUGUUUAUACAGCCUUAGUCACACCCACCUGCAUGUGGCUUGCACAGCCUUCCUAAACAGUUCCUGUAAAGAGUCAGCUAAUGUUUAUCCUUCCUUUAGACUUUAUCUCCUGCUCUGUUAAUAGCUUGCUAGACCCUGCAGGAGUCUCCUGUAUGUUGUUAAAGUUCAAUUUACAAAGCAGGAGUUAAAAUCUUUUAAGGUAAGUUACAUCAGAUUGAAAGUGAAACCAUUUUAUUUUCAUGCAGACUAUGCGAGUUACAACCAGGAGAGGUAUUGCUAGGGCUGCAUAAACCGAAACAAAGUGAUUUAACUCCUAAAUGGCAGUGAAUUGAGCAGGGAAACCUCAGAGGCAUGAUCUAUACACAAAAACUGCUUCAUUAAGAAUGUUUUGGCGACUAAUUCUCCUUUAACCCCUUAAGGACCAAACUUCUGGAAUAAAAGGGAAUCAUGACAUGUCACACAUGUCAUGUGUCCUUAAGGGGUUAAAGCGAGAAUUCAAAGUGAAUUUCAAAUCAAAGCCUAGCUGAUUCAGAGAAUUCGUCAAGAUUAUUUUGAACCUUAAAGUGAAUUUCAAAUUUAAUCCUCACUUUGGUGAAGACCCUCACUGAGUAGUGAUCCUGAGACUGUUAGUCAGCAAGUCUGCAACAGUAAAAAUCAAAAGACUGUCUUACCUUAAACUGUACAAGCCACUGUUUUCCAAACAAGCCAGGUAAGAACACACUUUCAAGAGCACUCAGCGGUCGACACUCUCAGAUUUACCGCUCUUACCUUAUCUCUCUCCUCCCUUUACAUUACAGCAGGUCUCUCACAGUUAUGGCAUCCCUGCUUAUUUAUUUUCUAUUUGGACACACAAUUUCAGAUUUGCUUUGAAUUGAAAUGAAUUCACACUUUAAUGGAUAACAGUUUACAUGUUAACUGUAGGAUAUUUUUUUUCUAGCUAAACUAUUUCAAAUUUAAGGCAGAAAUUAGUUUCCAAUUUAAGAUCUCAACACUGUAUAGUGAAUAACCCUGAACGGGUUAUUUAUAUCUCAUUCGUGCUCCAGCUUUCCAAAUAUUGAUCUUUAAGAAACUCAGAUAUUGUUUAGUAUAUACAGACACUUUAAAUGGCUCACUGUAAACCCUGUAGCCUGCUAUAGUGGUUAUGGUGCCAACAUGCCCCUGACACCAUCCCUCAUUUAAGUGUCAAAUUAAGGCCUGCUGCCUUGAACCUUGCUUGCUAUUUCAGUUAUAGUUCCACAUUAGCAAUAUCAAUUCAGUCCAAAUUUGCACAGAAUUAAUUGGCUGAGCUGACACACUUAGACAAUCCUAGACUUUCCGAGUUGGACAAAAAUGCUAACGCAGAACAAGCAAGUGGGCCAAUUUCAGGGGCAUGCUGGUACCAUAUUCACAUCAAACUGUAGUAGUUAUAGUUCACAGAGUACCCUUUCCAAUUUUGUUUUUGCAUUUUCCAUGAUUUUCUUAAUCUUUUUGUUCAUGAUGUCUAGUUUCUCCAAAACAAAGAUGGGAGAAUGGAGAAGUAUAUCUAUAUAGUAUAGGUAAAUAUGAUAGUAUAAAAUUGCAGUCACAUGAAAUUGAGCUUCCAUAAUGGCUCCUAAAGCGUAUCUUGGAGUGGUGCAGUCACCACUCUUAGAUAAGUGGUAGAAACAAUUCUUCCCCAUUUUGUAUAUAUGCAAUAGAACAGAGGUAGAAAUGCACACUGCAGUAUGGGUUAGUGCAAAUAAAUGGAAAAUUACUUUCAGAGGUAGAGAAAAGUGGGUUUUGCUCAUUCCAUACAGCACAGGUGGUACAUUCCCCACCAAGCAAAGUAAUGUCCAGAAGGCAGACUGAAUAAAAGGCAGGAGGGUCCAGAAGUCUUAUACUAACAAUUAUCUUCAUUCUAAUAUAACAAGAGACAAUAUAAUAAGCACUCCUUUUAUAGCAAACAAAUAAAAUUAAAAUUUGUGGUCAUAUCAUGUGACUGCGAUAAUCCGAACAUUUACAUGCAUUUAAAAUCAAGGUAUAGACAAUAUAGCAUAAGACACAUAAAUACAAAAACCCUUCUCUUCUAAUAAAUAAUAACUAAUAUUACUAAUAUUUCUAACACUCCAGAUUCAUUAAAAAUCCAUUUGUUAAUCAAAUAUCAAGACAUGUGUAAAAGAAACUUCAUCUAUUACAAAUAGUAUGUCCAUAAAAAUCACUAAAAAAAAAGUCCAGACCUUAUUCAAAAUACUCGGCUUCCCGAGUCAGCAAGAUGUGUAGUGCUGAAAAAUAUCAAAUAAUGGUCCUCUUUGAAGUAAAAGUGAUGGCUGAUAUCGAUGGGAGUCAGACCUCUCCAGACGCGUUUCUCCGCUUUGGCGGCUUUCUCAAUGGAUGCGCUCUGUCUCUUAGUGUUCAUAUUUAUAGUAUCUGCCGGCUUUCUUUUAAUCACAGCAAAUUCCGAAUCAGCAAUGUAUGUUGCAAAAUCCAACUAUUCUCUAUAUAACUAAACAGUCAUAUUGUAUCAAAAGCUCUAUAAAGUUACUACUUAUUAUUUCGUUCUGCACAAUAUAUUUCUAUUCUGUAUUUACUGCCGUUACUAUAGUAACACCCGCUCGAGCAGGUUUAAAUAUAACUGCCGUUUUCAACUGGUUAAACAGGGGAAGAAAAUAGGAUGAAAAGAAGUUUAUUAUAAAAGAAAUUUCUUCCUUUAGAUCUUCUGCUAUGCUCAUUUAAAUAUAAAUAAUUACUAUAUUCCAGCUCAAAACAGUACUUUCGAUGUGAAAAAAAAAAUUGUGAAAAAAUUGUGACGGCAGUAUAUAAAUUCAGGUCUUAAUACAUAUGCUGCCACUAUUUCGUAUAAAUUCAUUACAAUAUGAACCUCAAAGUGUAUUAGCUGUGCAAUGUAUUAUAUAGUAUAUUCAACUAAAAAAGGACCCUCCCUAUAUUAUUCAGGGUAAGGUAGAACUUAAUAAAAAUGAUGAAAGCUAAAAAUAGCAAUCUUAAUAGAAUCACUCCAGAUUCAUUUCUUAAAAAGCAAAAAAAUGAAAAAAAAAUAAAUAAAAUUUGUUCCACCAUUAUAAGAAAAAAGUUAUCCCAAAAAAUGACAGAGCUCAA